rnacentral:rRNA from 1 species
AGAGUUUGAUCCUGGCUCAGGAUGAACGCUGGCGGCGUGCCUAAUACAUGCAAGUCGAACGAAUCUCUUUUAGAGAUGAGUGGCGAACGGGUGAGUAAUACAUAGGUAACCUGCCCCUGUGCGGGGGAUAACAGGAGGAAACUCCUGCUAAUACCGCAUAGCCAUGAGCACCGCAUGGAGCUCAUGCCAAAUAUCCUUUAUGGGAUAGCGCAGGGAUGGACCUAUGGCGCAUUAGCUUGUUGGCGGGGCAACGGCCCACCAAGGCAACGAUGCGUAGCCGGCCUGAGAGGGCGGACGGCCACAUUGGGACUGAGACACGGCCCAGACUCCUACGGGAGGCAGCAGUAGGGAAUUUUCGGCAAUGGGGGAAACCCUGACCGAGCAACGCCGCGUGAGCGAAGAAGGCCUUCGGGUCGUAAAGCUCUGUUGUAAAGGAAGAACGUCGCAUGCAGGAAAUGGUGUGCGAGUGACGGUACUUUACCAGAAAGCCACGGCUAACUACGUGCCAGCAGCCGCGGUAAUACGUAGGUGGCGAGCGUUAUCCGGAAUCAUUGGGCGUAAAGAGGGAGCAGGCGGCCGCAAGGGUCUGUGGUGAAAGACCGAAGCUAAACUUCGGUGAGCCAUGGAAACCGGGCGGCUAGAGUGCGGAAGAGGAUCGUGGAAUUCCAUGUGUAGCGGUGAAAUGCGUAGAUAUAUGGAGGAACACCAGUGGCGAAGGCGACGGUCUGGGCCGCAACUGACGCUCAUUCCCGAAAGCGUGGGGAGCAAAUAGGAUUAGAUACCCUAGUAGUCCACGCCGUAAACGAUGAGAACUAAGUGUUGGGGAAACUCAGUGCUGCAGUUAACGCAAUAAGUUCUCCGCCUGGGGAGUAUGCACGCAAGUGUGAAACUCAAAGGAAUUGACGGGGGCCCGCACAAGCGGUGGAGUAUGUGGUUUAAUUCGAAGCAACGCGAAGAACCUUACCAGGGCUUGACAUCCUACUAACGAAGUAGAGAUACAUCAGGUGCCCUUCGGGGAAAGUAGAGACAGGUGGUGCAUGGUUGUCGUCAGCUCGUGUCGUGAGAUGUUGGGUUAAGU